rnacentral:rRNA from 1 species
ACGUAGGUCCCGAGCGUUGUCCGGAUUUAUUGGGCGUAAAGCGAGCGCAGGCGGUUUAAUAAGUCUGAAGUUAAAGGCAGUGGCUUAACCAUUGUUCGCUUUGGAAACUGUUAGACUUGAGUGCAGAAGGGGAGAGUGGAAUUCCAUGUGUAGCGGUGAAAUGCGUAGAUAUAUGGAGGAACACCGGUGGCGAAAGCGGCUCUCUGGUCUGUAACUGACGCUGAGGCUCGAAAGCGUGGGGAGCAAACAG